GUGCUCACUUUGGCAGCACAUAUAGUAAGACUGGAAUGAUACAGAGAUGACUAGCCUGAUCCCUGCAUGGAUGAUGUGCAAAUUCCUGAAGCGUUUCAUUUUUUU
rnacentral:snRNA from 1 species